UGUUUUCCCCAAACCCACCUUAACUCCUCAGCCGCUCAUUCACUCUCCCACUCUCUCAUUUCCGCUUUCUUUCUUCAUCUAAUUUACUUUUAUGUGCUUGAAUUUGGGAUAUCAUCCUUUGGUUUUAGUUAUUUAAUUAUCGCUGGUUUGGGUUUUUUCAGGUGAUUAAGGGUAUUCUACUGAUAUGGAUUUCGAUUCAUGCAUCAUCCUUUGGUAUGACUCUGUUCCUACUUUCAAUUGGUGAUAUUAGUUAUGCUUUUACUUUCUUUGUUUAUUCCAGGAACUGGUACUCCGAGUAAAGGAUUGGUGUCUACUGUUUUGUGUUCAACAACUUGGAGGCUGGCAAGGGAACAGCCACCCCGGUUAAUAGUUGGUGCCUCAAGUGAGUAUGUGUUGCUCGGACCUUAUAAACGAUCGACUUUAUGUUGGAGAGACUGAUGAUCUUAGGGGUAAGGUUCCUGCCCAUCGUUCAAAGGAAGGAAUGUCGAAUGCUUCAUUCCUAUAUCUCUUAGUCCCUGGAAAAAGCAUAGCUUGGCAGCUAGAAACUCUUCUCAUCAACCAGGUACCCAGUAAGGGGUUUCAACUAACCAAUUUAGCCGACGGCAAACAUAGAAAUUUUGGUACUUCUGACGUCUCCAUGGAAAAUUUUACAUUGCAUAGAUGUACAGUCCAGGUGCCAAGUUAUUCGAGACUGUUUGCGUUAAUGUGUAUUGUUACUUCUGUUUUCUUUUGUGUACAAUACUUAGUUUCUGAAUUAUCCAUAGGACUAGCAGUUUCUUUGUGGUAAGGAUGUAACAGUAUAUCAAAUUAACUUAACUUUCUGUAGUUUG